CUUCUUUUAAGCCUAUGUAACCAACAUGAGUUGUUUAGCUUAUUUUGUAGUUGUUGAUAUGUUAACAGUGUUUUAUAGAUUGCAAUUGUUUUGCUGACGAUUUGUUAAUUAUUCUGUAUGAUUUAUGCAGGAUUUGUGAUGUCCUAUCACGCUAUUGUUAUUUAUUGUUUGUAAGUCGCUUUGGGGUUCAUUUGAAAGAAACGUGGCACUGAAACAGGACAAAUCAAUCAAAUAAUAAAGAAGUGGCUUAAUUAGGCCUGUUACUUUAAGGAGCUCCAAGGCUUUUAAGAUCAGGUGUGUAAAUUGGGGUGGGGAGAGAGAGAAAGCAACUCAAGGCUUUGGAAGCCAUUUUGAUUAAGAGCUGCUGAAGAGCUGAAGGAGUGGAUUUCAGGGGAGGCCUGGCCUACCUUGUUUUAAAGGGUCCCAGGGGUGGAGUACUGUACUUACUCAGGCUUCUGUGCCCAGAUAGAUUCUGCUAAUAGGCCAGCACUCGGCGGAAACAGGUAGAAGAAUUUUCAUGUCGUGAUAAAAAGACACCCUUGAAGAAAGAAUAGUGGACCAGGGUUUGUUGAAAGAAUAUACUUAUGUGAAACUGUAAUGCUGCAAUCCUACACAAAGAGGUAAGCCCUGUUGAGCACAGUGGGAAUAAUUUCUUAGAAAACUUUUUACAGUUUUCAUGUGCAAGAAACCUCUAAUUAUCUGCAUUCCACAAUUGUGUAAAACUCCAAUAUUUGGAUGUCUAUCCAGAUAUGGGGUUUCUAUCUCAAUUUUGUUGCAAAAGUCUGCCUCUAAUAUACUCCAGCUCUUUGAAGAGCUCAUAACUGUGUAUAGAGCCUAUGCAUGAACAAGUGGUAUGCAUGCACACAGGCAGCAGACAAAGAGAUGUGUUUGGGCAUGAAAUGCCAAUCCAAGGCCUCACACGUAUGUGGUGUUGUUUAGUUGUGUCCG